GACAGAGGGUGCAAACGUUGUUCGGAAUUACUGGGCGUAAAGCGCGUGUAGGCGGCUCUGUAAGUCGGGUGUGAAAUCCCACGGCUCAACCGUGGAAGUGCACUCGAAACUACAGGGCUAGAGUCCUGGAGAGGAAGGUGGAAUGCUUGGUGUAGAGGUGAAAUUCGUAGAUAUCAAGCGGAACACCGGUGGCGAAGGCGGCCUCUGGACAGUGACUGACGCUGAGACGCGAAAGCGUGGGGAGCAAACAGG
rnacentral:rRNA from 1 species